AUUGCUACAAUGCUGUCAGAACACUCAGCAACUGUCACUGCUGUGGAAAAACUGCCACCGGAUCACUGAGCUGUGCUGUCCCCCUCCCAGGAGAAUACUGAAGGGAGAGAAGAGAGUGAAGUCAGGGCAUUUAGUUUCCUGCAUCACUGUUUGCAAAGGCCAACUCUUUGCAACUAUCAAGGAUGCAGUAUUGGUCUGCUAUUGCUGUGUAACAACCAAAACUCUCAGUGGCAUACAACAAGGCAAAACUGGCGGGACCUGACAAUUAACCUGAUGUAAGACAGAUCAACAGAAGAAAAGGACACACAUUUACAGUAUGUAUGUUUCACAUGACACAGAGCCCUCAGAAAAAGGAAGACUCCCAAAAGGGCAGAACCUACAGGCUUUUACAGUAGGUUGAACAAAGAGAGGCAAUUGUGGAAAAGUAACUAAACUGUAUGGGGAGGCUAGGAGAAGAUA